GAUCCUGUUUCAGGAUUAACGCUGACGGUGUGCAUAAUACAUGCAAGUCGAACGUGUGAUGCGAAAGUAGCAAUACUUUUGCAAAGCAAGUGGCGAACGGGUGAGUAACAAGUGGACAAUCUGCCCUUAAGAUCGGGAUAAUUAUUCGAAAGGAUAGCUAAUACCGAAUGUUUUAUAUCUUUCGAUGAUUGAUAUAACAAAGGAAGCCGCAAGGCCUCCGCUUUUGGAUGAGUCCGCUGCCUAUUAGCUAGUUGGUAAGGUAAUGGCUUACCAAGGCUAUGAUGGGUAGCCGGCCCGAGAGGGUGUCCGGCCACACUGGGACUGAGAUACGGCCCAGACUCCUACGGGAGGCAGCAGUAGGGAAUAUUGCGCAAUGGGCGAAAGCCUGACGCAGCGACACCGUGUGUAGGAUGAAGAUCUUAGGAUUGUAAACUACUGUCAGUUGAAGAAGAAGGUAUGAGAGUUAAGAGCUUGAUUAUUGACGGUAUUCAACGAGGAAGUCUCGGCUAACUCCGUGCCAGCAGCCGCGGUAAGACGGGGGAGGCAAGCAUUGUCCGGAAUUAUUGGGCGUAAAGAACACGUAGGCGGUUUUUCAAGUCAAUUGUGAAAACCUUGGGCUUAACCCGAGGACUGCAGCUGAUACUGGAAGACUAGAGUACAGUAGAGGAAAGUGGAAUUCCUGGUGUAGCGGUGAAAUGCGCAGAUAUCAGGAAGAACACCAGUGGCGAAAGCGGCUUUCUGGACUGUUACUGACGCUGAGGUGUGAAAGCUAGGGGAGCGAACAGGAUUAGAUACCCUGGUAGUCCUAGCCGUAAACGAUGGACACUAA
rnacentral:rRNA from 1 species